rnacentral:rRNA from 1 species
UACGGGAGUGGCAAGCGUUAUCCGGAAUCAUUGGGCGUAAAGCGCCUGUAGGUUGUUUAAUAAGUCUGUUGUUAAAGACUGGGGCUUAACCCCAGGAAAGCAAUGGAAACUACUAGACUUGAGUAUGGCAGGGGUAGAGGGAAUUUCUAGUGUAGCGGUGAAAUGCGUAGAUAUUAGAAAGAACACCAGCGGCGAAAGCGCUCUACUGGACCAUUACUGACACUCAGAGACGAAAGCUAGGGUAGCAAAAGGGAUUAGAUACCCCUGUAGUCCUAGCCGUAAACGAUGGAUACUAGAUGUUGUGUUUAAUAUGCAGUAUCGUAGCUAACGCGUUAAGUAUCCCGCCUGGGGAGUACGCUCGCAAGGGUG